rnacentral:rRNA from 1 species
AUUGAACGCUGGCGGCAGGCCUAACACAUGCAAGUCGAGCGGAUGAAGGGAGCUUGCUCCUGGAUUCAGCGGCGGACGGGUGAGUAAUGCCUAGGAAUCUGCCUGGUCGUGGGGGAUAACGUCCGGAAACGGGCGCUAAUACCGCAUACGUCCUGAGGGAGAAAGUGGGGGAUCUUCGGACCUCACGCUAUCAUAUGAGCCUAGGUCGGAUUAGCUAGUUGGUGGGGUAAAGGCCUACCAAGGCGACGAUCCGUAACUGGUCUGAGAGGAUGAUCAGUCACACUGGAACUGAGACACGGUCCAGACUCCUACGGGAGGCAGCAGUGGGGAAUAUUGGACAAUGGGGGAAAGCCUGAUCCAGCAAUGCCGCGUGUGUGAAGAAGGUCUUCGGAUUGUAAAGCACUUUAAGUUGGGAGGAAGGGAAGUAAGUUAAUACCUUGCUGUUUUGACGUUACCAACAGAAUAAGCACCGGCUAACUUCGUG